GCUGGACGUCCUGCAGGAAGUGAAUCAACAGAAGCUGGUACUGAUGCAGCUGAGCUGGACCUGUUUCCUCAUCUUUCCUGAGACAUUUGGGAGCAGAAGAUUCAUACUGUUGCCAUGGAAACAAAACAGCAGAAACGUCUCUGAGGAGGUUCUGAUUAGAUUUGAUGAUUUCAGCCGUCAUCACCGUCCAUGGAUAAAUUAACCGGAGGCCAGAGCACAAAAGGGCAAUUCCACGUGUCGUCUGCUGUCGUUACGCUGAUUUAUGAGGCCAGACUCAGCCGGCCCAUCUGAACAGGUACCAGAAGAGUCCAGCAGGACCAGCAUGCAUCAGUGUGGAGCUGCAAACACACACACCAUGAUGGUGUCAGGUGAACAACAUGACGAGGGGCUGGAAGCAGAGAGAACAUCAGGAACAGACGGGGGGACGCCUUCAUUCAGGAGGUCUCUGGUUUUCAGCAGCGUCAAGGGUCCAUCUGUGCCCUUACAUAAAGUGGUCCCCACAGUGGGWUUGUGAAGUGAGACAGAAAAGCCCUGAUCUGCAUCAUAUCCAGUCUGCUGAAGCAGAAAAAAGGCGGGAAACUGAAAGCUUUACGGCAGGAGAAAGUGUCUUCC